CCUGCUUGAUCAGAUUGCAAUGGGCGACAUCUAUGGUCGAAGGUUUGGAUGAGGACAGGUUUUCGUCGGUUGCGACCAAGGAGAGAUGGGUUUACAGUUUUCAAUGAGGGGAAGGUGGUGGGUUUCAUGAGCAGAGAUGAUAGGUCUGAGUUGAUGCCGGAUCUGUAACACAGGCAGAUCAGAGAUGGUGACGGAUCUGAGCAUAUGUCGGGUCUGGGUCAUGUCGGAUUUGGUGAGUGAAGAUGGAGAACCAAGCUCGAGCAGUGCCAUUACUUCAGAAGGUGAUGUCAGUGGCUAUCAACAUGCUGCUAUAUCUACAUGGUAUUUGGUCUAUCAAGUUCGUCCAUUGUUCCAUAAGGCAUUUGUCCACCAUGGAUGUCUUCCAUUCAGGUGAGGAUCUGCAGGUUUCUUUGCUGGAGUAUAUAAAAAGAGUUUCAGGGGACUUGCUCUUGAAGAGAAAGUUCAUUUCAUCUAUUGCGACCAUGAAGAAAGUCUUUGAUCAGAUUGUUAGGGACCUGCCCUUAUCUGAAUGGAUCACCUAAUCAGGGUGACAUUGGGGCCUUGUACAGUCCAUGGUGGACUGUUCCUAUUCUCUUCUUCAGGCAUACUCCCUUUGGGAUGAAAAGGAUGGGGUGAGCAUCUCCUUUCUUUCACCUCUUUUGAAUCAUCCCAUGCCUUUCCUGUGAUCAUAGGUGGGCACAGUUGGGCCCACAUAGGAAUUCAAAUGGUAACAAGGUUUGAAGAACUUGUGUUGGAUCAUAGCUUGCCAUCUUGGGAUCAUUUGUAAUUUGUAGAAUAUUUGGGUACCUAUGCAGGAAAAUGCAUAUUGGUCGAUGCAUACGAGUCCAUACAAGUAUGGACUGUCUGGUUCAGGCAGUUCUCCAUAUUAUAGUCAUACAAACUAGAAGAAAUGCUCUUGGACAUGGAGACCAUGGAUAUUCUAGGGCAGCAGGCCUCGUUAAAAACACCUGUAAAACACAUGUCAGGGCGUUUGUCAAUUCCAAAAAUGAAGUUGUGUAUGAGUUCUGGACUAGUUCACAUCUUUAUUUCAUGGUUCUCCUCAGGAUGGUUCUAUCCUAGGAUUUCUUUACUUCCAGAAUUUGGAGAAUGGUCACCAUGAGAAUGAAGAGUCCAAAGGCAAAACUGUAGGUUCAAAGAUUAAAUUAUUUUAUAUUAUUGUCUAAUUGUUUAUUUGUGUCCAA